rnacentral:piRNA from 1 species
UGGAAUGUUUAAGGAAUGGUCUAGAUUGG